AGAUAACUAGUUUAUUUUAUUAAAACGUUAAUAUGCAAUGUUAAAGAAUUUUUGUCUU
rnacentral:tRNA from 1 species